rnacentral:rRNA from 1 species
CCUACGGGUGGCUGCAGUGGGGAAUCUUGCACAAUGGGCGAAAGCCUGAUGCAGCCAUGCCGCGUGAAUGAUGAAGGCCUUAGGGUUGUAAAAUUCUUUCGCUAGGGAUGAUAAUGACAGUACCUAGUAAAGAAGCCCCGGCUAACUUCGUGCCAGCAGCCGCGGUAAUACGAAGGGGGCUAGCGUUGUUCGGAAUUACUGGGCGUAAAGCGCACGUAGGCGGACUUUUAAGUCAGGUGUGAAAUCCCAGGGCUCAACCCUGGAACUGCAUUUGAAACUGGAAGUCUAGAGACCAGGAGAGGUUAGCGGAAUACCGAGUGUAGAGGUGAAAUUCGUAGAUAUUCGGUGGAACACCAGUGGCGAAGGCGGCUAACUGGACUGGUACUGACGCUGAGGUGCGAAAGUGUGGGGAGCAAACAGGAUUAGAUACCCCUGUAGUC